rnacentral:misc_RNA from 1 species
CGAUUUGACCUUUGGCAGUUUCCUACAAGAGUUUCAGUUGAAUCAAAUCUGCUAAAUUAAAUCGAGUCUCUUUUUAUUAAAAAUUGUAUUCAUUCUUGAGUGAUUUCUGUGAUUUGUUUUAGUUGAUUUUAAACCUUUCAUUACUGUUAAUUAAAAAUAAAUAUGCUUAAUUUUCAUGCUUGGUGUGCGCAUCAAAGACAGAAUAAAAG